rnacentral:ncRNA from 1 species
ACCUGGGCUGCCAUUUCGCGAUCGGACAGGCCACCGCAAAUCUGGAUGAUACGGUCAGAGAGUGUGGACUUACCGUGGUCAAUGUGGGCAAUGAUAGAGAAAUUUCGUAUAUUCUUCAUAUUUAAUAAGUUAUUGGAUCACUGUCCGUAAAUUACGUGGGAAUGGCGCGCCGUGAAGGGAACCCCUUGUUGACACGCCAUCCAUUAAUAAUGGCGAGCAUAUUACACUGUACAAGAGGUUGAGUCAGCAGAUGUUCAUUGUCGUCAGCGGCUGCUGACAUCGUCGACCUGUAGCUGAUCGGCGGUGAGCGCCACAUUAAGAAUCACCGGUUGCCAGCUCUCCCGCGCGGCGACCCGUGCAGAAAACCCUCUGGCAACCAGAAAACCACCUACCCCGCCCAGCAGCGCACCGCAAAAUGCAGCGGCAUCGCUACCAAAACAGAGCUGGAACAGGCCCGCGACCAGGAACAACCCCAGUAGCGGCGAUAAAUAGACCAGCAUUGCAGAGCCCAGCAGGCUUGAUUCGGUGAUCCCAAGCUCCACUUUCUGGCCUGCCGCCAGGGGGGAAUCCCAGCGCACGGCGAUGGUGUGUUCAGUUUCGGGCCCCAGUUUAUUCAGCACCCGGGUUCCGCAACCGGAACGUGACGCACAGCUGUUGCAAGCGGUUUUGACAUCGCAACGCACCAGCGCUUCACCAUUUUGCCACGACACCACCGUGGCCCAUUCGCGCAUCAUCGGGUAGCCCUGGAGGUUACGCUGUCGGCAAUACGU